rnacentral:rRNA from 1 species
AUGGCUCCGCCGGCGUGGAUCAUCCUGGGCGCCGACACGCGCGUGUCGGAGCAGCAGGACGCGGACCUCUCCCUCGAGCUCGCCGCGCCGCCGCGCGUCUCCGUCCUCAACGUGCCCCGGCGCGUGUCCCCCGUCCAGGCCGACCCCACCAGCGGCGUCUGCCCCUGGGUGGUCACCGCGGACCCUGCCUCCGGCCUCCUCCUCCUCCGCGCCCCGCCACCCCCUCCCACUGACUCUCCAACUCCCCCGCCGACCUUCCGCAACGGCGUGCUGGUCCCCGCUGUCACCUACAUCAGGCGCCACCCGCCGACCUACUUCGUCUGCGACGUCGCGUCCGCCACCGCCUUCCGCCUCCCGCAACCCGGCCGCGACCCUAGCGGGCUACCUACGGAGAUCAACGCGCUGAACCUCGGCGUCGUCGCCGCCCCCGGAGCCGGAGGCGGCGCCUAG